rnacentral:rRNA from 1 species
CCCCUGUGUGCCUUGGAGUCUCAGAGAGUUUGAUCCUGGCUUAGGAUGAACGCUGGCGGCGUGCCUAAUACGUGCAAGUCGAACGAGGGUGCUUGCACCCUAGUGGCGAACGGGUGAGUAACACGUAGGUAACCUGCCCUUAGUUUGGGAUACCCAGAGGAAACUUUGGCUAAUACCGGAUAUGAAUUCGAGAGGCAUCUCUUGAAUUUAAAAGGAGCGUUUGCUCCGCUUUAGGAUGGACCUGCGGCGCGUUAGCUAGUUGGUGAGAUAACAGCCCACCAAGGCGAGGAUGCGUAUCCGAUCUGAGAGGAUGACCGGACACAUUGGAACUGAGACACGGUCCAAACUCCUACGGGAGGCAGCAGUAAGGAGUUUUCGGCAAUGGGGGAAACCCUGACCGAGCAACGCCGCGUGAGUGAAUGACGGCCCUAUGGGUUGUAAAGCUCUGUUGUAAGGGACGAAUGGUGGAGUCAGGAAAUGGGCUCCAUUUGACGGUACCUUACCAGAAAGCCACGGCUAACUACGUGCCAGCCGCCGC